ACGGGAGACACACGGCGGGUGCUAACGUCCGUCGUGAAGAGGGAAACAACCCAGACCGCCAGCUAAGGUCCCAAAGUCAUGGUUAAGUGGGAAACGAUGUGGGAAGGCCCAGACAGCCAGGAUGUUGGCUUAGAAGCAGCCAUCAUUUAAAGAAAGCGUAAUAGCUCACUGGUCGAGUCGGCCUGCGCGGAAGAUGUAACGGGGCUAAACCAUGCACCGAAGCUGCGGCAGCGACGCUUAUGCGUUGUUGGGUAGGGGAGCGUUCUGUAAGCCUGCGAAGGUGUGCUGUGAGGCAUGCUGGAGGUAUCAGAAGUGCGAAUGCUGACAUAAGUAACGAUAAAGCGGGUGAAAAGCCCGCUCGCCGGAAGACCAAGGGUUCCUGUCCAACGUUAAUCGGGGCAGGGUGAGUCGACCCCUAAGGCGAGGCCGAAAGGCGUAGUCGAUGGGAAACAGGUUAAUAUUCCUGUACUUGGUGUUACUGCGAAGGGGGGACGGAGAAGGCUAUGUUGGCCGGGCGACGGUUGUCCCGGUUUAAGCGUGUAGGCUGGUUUUCCAGGCAAAUCCGGAAAAUCAAGGCUGAGGCGUGAUGACGAGGCACUACGGUGCUGAAGCAACAAAUGCCCUGCUUCCAGGAAAAGCCUCUAAGCAUCAGGUAACAUCAAAUCGUACCCCAAACCGACACAGGUGGUCAGGUAGAGAAUACCAAGGCGCUUGAGAGAACUCGGGUGAAGGAACUAGGCAAAAUGGUGCCGUAACUUCGGGAGAAGGCACGCUGAUAUGUAGGUGAAGCGACUUGCUCGUGGAGCUGAAAUCAGUCGAAGAUACCAGCUGGCUGCAACUGUUUAUUAAAAACACAGCACUGUGCAAACA
rnacentral:rRNA from 1 species